rnacentral:rRNA from 1 species
AACGAACGCUGGCGGCAUGCCUAACACAUGCAAGUCGAACGAUGGUCUUCGGAUCAUAGUGGCGCACGGGUGCGUAACGCGUGGGAAUCUGCCCUUGGGUUCGGAAUAACAGUUGGAAACGACUGCUAAUACCGGAUGAUGUCGAUAAGACCAAAGAUUUAUCGCCCGAGGAUGAGCCCUCGUCGGAUUAGCUAGUUGGUGGGGUAAAGGCCUACCAAGGCGACGAUCCGUAGCUGGUCUGAGAGGAUGAUCAGCCACACUGGGACUGAGACACGGCCCAGACUCCUACGGGAGGCAGCGGUGGGGAAUAUUGGACAAUGGGCGCAAGCCUGAUCCAGCAAUGCCGCGUGAGUGAUGAAGGCCUUAGGGUUGUAAAGCUCUUUUACCCGGGAAGAUAAUGACUGUACCGGGAGAAUAAGCCCCGGCCAACUCCGUG